CGUCUUGCAGCAGUCAGCUUUUUUCUGUUGCUUACAUUGCUUGGAAAACUGGCGGGACAAAUCCAAUGGGAAGUGAAUUAGCAAAAAUUAAUGCGUAAUCGUCAUUGCUACUUUGGCCUUUAUAACCGUUGUUCAAAAACAAUGCAUUUUGUUUUAAAUAUUCAUCAAAGAUAACAUAAAGAUGCGAUGACGUUUUCUUCAGUAUUAUUUAAACUACAUAGGAAAGCGACAAAUUAUAAAUCGUUGAUAUGGAGAGCGAUUGCAUUAUUAUGCGAGUACAUACUCGUACAUACAUUUAUCGAAAUGUAUUAAAAUAUACAAGAAAUUGGAUGGAAUUUUAUCAUAACAUUUGCUUCAUUUAAAUCGAAUGAUGUCCAGUGAAAUAUUAUUUGCAUAUUCUUCAAAAUUCCAAAUUUCAACGAAGAAGAAAGCGUGUAAAACUCAAAGAGAAACCAGCAAAAAGAAACCAAA